rnacentral:tRNA from 1 species
GCGGCUGUGGCGUAAUUGGUAGCCGCGCCAGACUUAGGAUCUGGUGCCGAAAGGCAUGGGGGUUCGAUUCCCUUCAGCCGCACAA